rnacentral:rRNA from 1 species
GUACACAAAAAUGCACAUAUUGUGAGCUCGAUGAGUAGGGCGGGACACGUGGUAUCCUGUCUGAAUAUGGGGGGACCAUCCUCCAAGGCUAAAUACUCCUGACUGACCGAUAGUGAACCAGUACCGUGAGGGAAAGGCGAAAAGAACCCCGGCGAGGGGAGUGAAAAAGAACCUGAAACCGUGUACGUACAAGCAGUGGGAGCCUCUUUAUGGGGUGACUGCGUACCUUUUGUAUAAUGGGUCAGCGACUUAUAUUCUGUAGCAAGGUUAACCGAAUAGGGGAGCCGAAGGGAAACCGAGUCUUAACUGGGCGUUAAGUUGCAGGGUAUAGACCCGAAACCCGGUGAUCUAGCCAUGGGCAGGUUGAAGGUUGGGUAACACUAACUGGAGGACCGAACCGACUAAUGUUGAAAAAUUAGCGGAUGACUUGUGGCUGGGGGUGAAAGGCCAAUCAAACCGGGAGAUAGCUGGUUCUCCCCGAAAGCUAUUUAGGUAGCGCCUCGUGAAUUCAUCUCCGGGGGUAGAGCACUGUUUCGGCAAGGGGGUCAUCCCGACUUACCAACCCGAUGCAAACUGCGAAUACCGGAGAAUGUUAUCACGGGAGACACACGGCGGGUGCUAACGUCCGUCGUGAAGAGGGAAACAACCCAGACCGCCAGCUAAGGUCCCAAAGUCAUGGUUAAGUGGGAAACGAUGUGGGAAGGCCCAGACAGCCAGGAUGUUGGCUUAGAAGCAGCCAUCAUUUAAAGAAAGCGUAAUAGCUCACUGGUCGAGUCGGCCUGCGCGGAAGAUGUAACGGGGCUAAACCAUGCACCGAAGCUGCGGCAGCGACACUAUGUGUUGUUGGGUAGGGGAGCGUUCUGUAAGCCUGUGAAGGUGGCCUGUGAGGGUUGCUGGAGGUAUCAGAAGUGCGAAUGCUGACAUAAGUAACGAUAAAGCGGGUGAAAAGCCCGCUCGCCGGAAGACCAAGGGUUCCUGUCCAACGUUAAUCGGGGCAGGGUGAGUCGACCCCUAAGGCGAGGCCGAAAGGCGUAGUCGAUGGGAAACAGGUUAAUAUUCCUGUACUUGGUGUUACUGCGAAGGGGGGACGGAGAAGGCUAUGUUGGCCGGGCGACGGUUGUCCCGGUUUAAGCGUGUAGGCUGGUUUUCCAGGCAAAUCCGGAAAACCAAGGCUGAGGCGUGAUGACGAGGCACUACGGUGCUGAAGCGACAAAUGCCCUGCUUCCAGGAAAAGCCUCUAAGCAUCAGGUAACAUCAAAUCGUACCCCAAACCGACACAGGUGGUCAGGUAGAGAAUACCAAGGCGCUUGAGAGAACUCGGGUGAAGGAACUAGGCAAAAUGGUGCCGUAACUUCGGGAGAAGGCACGCUGAUAUGUAGGUGAAGCGACUUGCUCGUGGAGCUGAAAUCAGUCGAAGAUACCAGCUGGCUGCAACUGUUUAUUAAAAACACAGCACUGUGCAAACACGAAAGUGGACGUAUACGGUGUGACGCCUGCCCGGUGCCGGAAGGUUAAUUGAUGGGGUUAGCGGUAACGCGAAGCUCUUGAUCGAAGCCCCGGUAAACGGCGGCCGUAACUAUAACGGUCCUAAGGUAGCGAAAUUCCUUGUCGGGUAAGUUCCGACCUGCACGAAUGGCGUAAUGAUGGCCAGGCUGUCUCCACCCGAGACUCAGUGAAAUUGAACUCGCUGUGAAGAUGCAGUGUACCCGCGGCAAGACGGAAAGACCCCGUGAACCUUUACUAUAGCUUGACACUGAACAUUGAGCCUUGAUGUGUAGGAUAGGUGGGAGGCUUUGAAGUGUGGACGCCAGUCUGCAUGGAGCCGACCUUGAAAUACCACCCUUUAAUGUUUGAUGUUCUAACGUUGGCCCGUAAUCCGGGUUGCGGACAGUGUCUGGUGGGUAGUUUGACUGGGGCGGUCUCCUCCUAAAGAGUAACGGAGGAGCACGAAGGUUGGCUAAUCCUGGUCGGACAUCAGGAGGUUAGUGCAAUGGCAUAAGCCAGCUUGACUGCGAGCGUGACGGCGCGAGCAGGUGCGAAAGCAGGUCAUAGUGAUCCGGUGGUUCUGAAUGGAAGGGCCAUCGCUCAACGGAUAAAAGGUACUCCGGGGAUAACAGGCUGAUACCGCCCAAGAGUUCAUAUCGACGGCGGUGUUUGGCACCUCGAUGUCGGCUCAUCACAUCCUGGGGCUGAAGUAGGUCCCAAGGGUAUGGCUGUUCGCCAUUUAAAGUGGUACGCGAGCUGGGUUUAGAACGUCGUGAGACAGUUCGGUCCCUAUCUGCCGUGGGCGCUGGAGAACUGAGGGGGGCUGCUCCUAGUACGAGAGGACCGGAGUGGACGCAUCACUGGUGUUCGGGUUGUCAUGCCAAUGGCACUGCCCGGUAGCUAAAUGCGGAAGAGAUAAGUGCUGAAAGCAUCUAAGCACGAAACUUGCCCCGAGAUGAGUUCUC